rnacentral:rRNA from 1 species
UACGUAGGCAGCAAGCGUUGUUCGGAAUUACUGGGCGUAAAGAGUGUGUAGGCGGUGCUCUAAGUUUGGUGUGAAAUCUCCCGGCUUAACUGGGAGGGUGCGCCGAAAACUGGAAUGCUUGAACAUGGGAGAGGAAAGCGGAAUUCCUGGUGUAGCGGUGAAAUGCGUAGAUAUCAGGAGGAACACCUGCGGUGUAGACGGCUUUCUGGACCAUAACUGACGCUGAGACACGAAAGCGUGGGUAGCAAACAGG